ACGAAGGGGGCUAGCGUUGCUCGGAAUCACUGGGCGUAAAGGGCGCGUAUGCGGCCAUUUAAGUCGGGGGUGAAAGCCUGUGGCUCAACCACAGAAUUGCCUUCGAUACUGGGUGGCUUGGGUCCGGAAGAGGUUGGUGGAACUGCGAGUGUAGAGGUGAAAUUCGUAGAUAUUCGCAAGAACACCGGUGGCGAAGGCGGCCAACUGGUCCGGAACUGACGCUGAGGCGCGAAAGCGUGGGGAGCAAACAGGAUUAGAUACCCUGGUAGUCAAGGGCGAAUUCGC
rnacentral:rRNA from 1 species